GUGGAAGAAGCUGAAACGCAAUUCAGUUGGCUGCUUUUGUUUACAGCAAUAGCACUUCUGCUUCUUGUUAAGUUGCUGUCUUUUCUGGAUCCUGAUUGGUUCUUCUCCUUGUUUCCAUGGGGAAGCCGCAGGAUAGCCUACCAUGAACCUUCAGAGGGAAGCUCACCAUGGGGUGUUGCUGCUUUCAUUGUGCUCCUGCUAGUUUUGCUGCAAUACCAGUCUAUUUUCCGGGACAGCUGGCUCAUUAAAAAAUAAAAAAUAAAAAAUAAAAAAAGGUUGUGUGUAUAUGUAGUAGUUGUUGUAUAUAAUGGAAUAUGAUCUUCUACUUUAUAAUUUCUGUACUGAUAUUGUGAAAUAGAUUAUACUCGUGUUUUAUUUUCAUAUCAAGAGCCAUAUGUUGAGUUGAAAUUGAAUCUUCAAUGAUUUUCCAUGUGGGUUUUGAAUCCUCUAUUUGAUGUUUCUUUUUUCCUAGUGGUUUCAUUAGGCUAAUUUGAUUGCUUGGAAGUAAUAAUUCUAUUAUGGAGUUACAAUAGUAUUUCAGUUACAAUAGUUAAUCCUACUAAUGAUAGGAAAUGGUCAGUUGUCAGUUACGUUGUUAUUGGGCCAUAACUCCAUAUUUAUGUUUGUGAUAAUGACUUGUUGUAAUUGUAGAUUAUUCUCUACAGACUUUAUAUAUAUUGUAUAAUAAUCAUAUGAAUAAUAUUUAUGGAAAAUCAGUUUCUUCAUGGUAUCAGAGCUAAUGGCUAACGCUGACUAGCGAUCCUCCAGUUGCCAACAUUGAGAGUCGUUGGCGCUCCUCACUCUUCACCCAUAAGGGUGUUUGUAUGUAUAGUGUUUUUUCCUUUCUUCUUCUCAAAGAUGAAUAUGUUUUUUCUUUCCACCUUAGCUGUAGCCGCACCUUUAUUUUACCACUACAACCCUUUCUUCUGUUAGCUCGUUAUUUUUGUGUCUUCGCUGCGCCGUCUUCAUUGUGGACCGUCUCCUCCAUUGAGCUCUCUCGUGGCAACCCAUGGCAGCUCCAUUUAUGUCCCUUGGCCAUGAUGGCGAGAUUUCUGUUUCCUCUGCUAGCCUUGUCACCGCUCACCGAGUCUUCUCCUCGCCGGCUUUUAUCUCUCUCAUGUCAUGCUAUCCUGCCGUUGUUGUUCUCUUACACAGCCACUGCCUGUCCCUCUUUUGGCUCGCUAGCCCCUUGUUAUCCAUCAAUGUUGGGCCACUGCUCUCUGUUGAAACCGAGCAAAAAAAAAAAAACUUUUCCUUUCCCUCAAAGAUCACACCUCUCUAUCGUUGGUUUCUCCACUUGAAAUCUCUCUCCACUUCUUCGUCUCUCUCGCCGAGCUAUCUCUCUUCCCUCCACGAGCCUUAUCCUAGUCUGCAAUCGUGGGUUCUCUCUCUCAUGUAUUUCUGAUGGUUUCUCUAUCGUGGUUUCCAUACUUUCCCUUUGUUUGUUGAUGCUGCCUGUCAUCGCUCAUCGAGUAGUCUCUUUUUCUCCGCGAGCCUCGUCAACGCUUGCCGAGCCUUAAUGUCCAAAGCUACAAGUUACACAAACUUGAGAUUCAAGCUAAGUGGUCAUUGUAACUUCUAGAUAUAUAAAUUCUUUAAAAAUGUUUUUAUUACCAAAGCUAUUCUUAUUGAUUCACUAUUGUUUUAACAUUUGUAAAGUCUUAAAGAUUUAUUUGUUUCUUUUCUUACUUUUGAUUGCCAAAGAAAAUUCGUAGUCUCCGAUCAAAAGUAAUAUAUACCAAGGUAUAUCGAGAGGUCUAAGAAGAAAAAGAUAACUCUUUGUAAACCCUAGCAUCUCCCUUCUCUCUCAACCCUUUUUGCGAUGUGUGUUCUUGGAGGGAGGAAGAAGGCCACUCCUCCUCUCUCCCUCUCUCCCCCCUUAGAGCAUCACUAGUGGUUGGGUGUAUAAUGGGGUAUAUAGCACAUUUACACCUCAUUUGACCAUAAUCAACUGCAAUGCAAGGAUGUAUCCCGCUGCAAAUAUAGCAAGCCACUGUGAGAUGAGAAAAUAGAUGGAAGUGUCCAUCUUUUUUUUUAUAUAUAGAAAUUUAGUUAUAUACCCAAUCUUAGACAUAGUCUUAUAAAGAAACCCUAUAUCAUUUAAAAACUAUAGCUAUCAAAUUUUUUAAUUUAAUAGUUACUUUUUAGUUUAUUUUUGUGUGUUAAAUACCUAUAUUGUCCUUGUACUAUGGAUUUGAGAGAGGAAUAUCAAAUCUGCCAAAAAACUAAAUUUUCCAUAAAACCAAAUAUGCCCAGAUCUGCCAAAAAAACCAAAUUUGCCAAAAAAACCAAAUUAGAUUUAUUUUCUCCUUUCUUGCUGGUGUUGGAGCAAAAUGAGCUUCCAUUGAAGCUCAGUCUCAGGUCCAACUAUAUUCUUCAUCUUUAAUAUACAAUUUUCAAUAUUUCCCCUUCGAUUUUUUGUUCUAAAAUUGUGCUUCUAUAGAUUUUUUUUUUCCGGAUUGUUCAAGACCUCAAACAAACCUUGAUCAGAUGCUCUUAGCUCUACUCCUCAUCUUCGAGCUCUACUCCUCUUUCGCCACAUCAUCGUUGUCGUUGUCGUUGUCGUCGUCGUCGUCGUCGUCGUUUGGUUUGGACUUGAGAUUUUUGAUCUUUUGCUUCAAUUAUGUGUUUCUCUUCGGGUUUUAGUUGAUUUUCGAAAUGUAUUUUAAGCUUUGAUGAUCGAUUUAUCUUUUGUUACUAUUUCAGUUAUGAAUCUCAUUUUUGUUUAACAAUGUAAUUCUAUGACAGAGUAUUAACAAUAUACUUCUAUGACAUAAUAUUAUUAACAAUCUGGGCUCGGCUUGUUUUGAGUUGGUCUGGUUUGUUCUUUCUUCAUCUUUUCUUUGGUGGACAUGUAUUAAAAAUAGCAACAAUCAACAUGACAGUAAACUAGCAGUGUUAUUACCCUAAACUGGAACAUUACAGGGGUAAACAUGCAUUAUAAAUAGGAUGUCAUAGGAAAUAGCAGUGUUAUUACCUUAGACUAGAACAUUACAAUGGUAGAUAUGCAUUAGAAAUAGAAUGUCAUAGGAAACUAGCAGUGUUAUUACCCUAUACUGGAACAUUACAAGAGUACACAUGCAUUAGAAAUAGGAUGUCAUCUGAAACUAGUAUUGUUAUUACCCUAAACUGGAACAUUACAACCAUUAAUCAACAUGACAGUAAACUAGCAAUGUCAUUACCCUAGAUUGGAACAUUACAGCAAUUAAUUAACAUGACAGUAAACUAGCAAUGUUAUUACCCUAGACUGGAUCAUUACAGGGGUAGACAUACAUUAGAAAUAAGAUAUCAUAGGAAACUAGCAGUGUUAUUACCCUAGACUAGAACAUUACAGGGUAAACAUGCAUUAGAAAUAGGAUGUCAUAGGAAAUUAGCAGUGUUAUUACCCUAGACUGAAACAUUACAACCAUUAAUCAACAUGAUAGAAUAGUGAACAUUACAACAAUUAAUCAACAUGACAAUAAAGGUGUGGAACAUUACAGUCAUUAAUUAACAUGACACGUUAAUGAAGCUACGAUUUUCAAGACGUUUUGUUUGUAAUAAAUUAUUUGGGUGUUUUUUUUAUAAAAUUGGGCUGGGCUUGUUUUGGGUGCUAUUUAAGUUUUUUGUGUUGGGUUUCUUUUUAAGUUGAUCAAUGACAGUCAUGUAAUUUAUAAGAACUUAAACACUAAUUUCUUAUGUAGUAAAUGAGUUUUGGGUGUGUUUCUAAAGUGCAUUUCAUGUGAGUUUUUUUAUUUAUAAUUUCAGCCCCUAUUUUGGGUAUAUUAGUGAAGCUCCUUUUUUUUUUUUUUUUUUUUAUAUAUAUCCAGCUAAAUGGGCCCCGUUGUUGAAAAAGCAUGAGAGAGAAUAAGCUUUCAGCGUGGAAAAAUGGGAGAAGCAGAAGAAAAUGUGAUGUGACAUCAAUGCACUAAUGGGGGUUGUAUGAUCCAACGGUGCUGGUGCUUCCAUAUUUGAUUCUAACGGUGCUGAUGCUUCCAUCUUCUGAUUUGCAUCUCCACCCAAUGGAGUAAAAAACACAUUCACACGUCCCGAAUGUGUAAAGGGGAUGUAAAGGUAACUUUAUACCUUCGAAAAUUCACCAUUUCACAGGUGAUGCUCUUAUCUCUCUAUUUAUUUUUCCCAUUCCCCAUAUAUUGGAUUUGAGGUUUUAAUUGUGGGGAGAUUAUUUGUGCCUAGAUCUAUUUUGGAUCUUGGUUUUUUACCCAGAUCUACUUGGAUCUGUAGUUUUGUUGGUUGGUUUUUCGUUGUACGGUGAGUGACUGCUAUCUAGGUGGUGUUCUCUGUCUCAAAGGCGGUAAUGAUGGUUAUGGUGGCGAAGGCAACAACGGUGGUGGUGGCUCAAUUAGUUUUUGGUUAUUGUUUUCUUAUAUUUUGUAAUAAUUGCAUAAACUCUUUGUGAGUUGGGUGUUUGAUUGUUUUCUAGUAUCUACUUGUGUUUUGUACUUGUGAGAAUUUAAAAGUUGUAGUUGUAUUAAAAGAUUUGGGCAAUGUAAUUCAUGUCUGAUUUGUUCAGGCAUGCGAUUUUUAUGUCGAAAUUUCUUUGCCCUUUUGUGGUUACUAUGCUUCCAUAUUUGUAUUAUCCCCUUGCGCAUAUUUGCCCUUAUAAUUGAUGAUAUUUAUCCCUAAUUUAUAAAUACAAUUAUCACUUUUCUCUAUUUAAAAAAAAAAAACUAUAACCUAGUGUUGGAACAUGUGGUUUCGAUUCAGCUUUAAAACUUAAAUAAAAUCUUUCAGUAUUGAAAAUAAAACCUUGUUUCCAUAAAUGGAUCCAUUAAACAAAGUUAUUUAAAGGGAUGUACAUUAUAGAGUUCAAUAUUUCAAACACAUAUGUUAAAUAAAAAGCUACUAAGAAAUUCCUAGUUAUGAAAAACAAAAACAAAACAAUUUAAAUGGUCAAAAGUUUUUGUUUUUCCAAUUUUGCAGAAGAGAUGGUAAAACUUAAAAUAUUUUUUGCCAAUCACUGGAUUUUUAUCUUAGAAUCUUAAAAGUAUCCUCCGUUUUUUUAUUUUUUAUUUAUUUUAAAGAACUAAGUUACAUUUCUUUUUGGCCGGUGUAGAUAUCUUAUUAAGAGCUCUUCUUCGAAAAUCUUAUCUUCUGUGCCUUCUUUUUCUUGUGGCCCCACCCAUGCAUCACACCUCCUCCAUUCCAUUGCAUAAAUGAAACCCCACAAAGACAUUAAGCAAUAAAAAUCCAAGCAAAUAAGAUUAAUUUAUUAGUUGGCUUGUAAAAAGUAAAGCAGACACUUCCUGUUUUUUGGCUAUAAAAACACAAGCCCUUCAAUGCCUAACAACCUCUUGAGCUUGUCCAUUUGAGCACUAAACCUCUCUUCAUGGCCUAUGGAAGAAGCCAAACCAGCUCUUUCCUAGAAGGGUUCUCUCUAAGUCCUCUGCCAUAUCCAGUUCUGCUAAUUCUUGCAGUAAUCUCAAUCUUUCUUGGCAUAUCCUGGUACUCAUCCUAUGACUCAGUUGUGGAAGAAGCUGAAACGCAAUUCAAUUGGUUGCUUUUUGUUACACCAAUAGCACUUCUGCUUCUUGUUAAGUUGCUGUCUUCUAUGGAUCCUGAUUGGCUCUUCUCCAUGUCUCCACUGGGAAACCGCAGGAGAACCUACUAUCCACCUUCGGAGGGAAGCUCACCAUGGGGUGUUGCUGCUUUCAUUGUGCUCCUGCUAGUUUUGCUGCAAUACCAGUCUAUUUUCAGGGACAGCUGGCUCAUAUAGUAUGUUCAGUAUUCUGUUUAAAAAUUUAAAAAAAUUAUGUAAAAA
rnacentral:lncRNA from 1 species